AUUGAACGCUGGCGGCAGGCCUAACACAUGCGAGUCGAGCGGAUGAAGGGAGCUUGCUCCUGGAUUCAGCGGCGGACGGGUGAGUAAUGCCUAGGAAUCUGCCUGGUAGUGGGGGAUAACGUCCGGAAACGGGCGCUAAUACCGCAUACGUCCUGAGGGAGAAAGUGGGGGAUCUUCGGACCUCACGCUAUCAGAUGAGCCUAGGUCGGAUUAGCUAGUUGGUGGGGUAAAGGCCUACCAAGGCGACGAUCCGUAACUGGUCUGAGAGGAUGAUCAGUCACACUAGAACUGAGACACGGUCCAGACUCCUACGGGAGGCAGCAGUGGGGAAUAUUGGACAAUGGGCGAAAGCCUGAUCCAGCCAUGCCGCGUGUGUGAAGAAGGUCUUCGGAUUGUAAAGCACUUUAAGUUGGGAGGAAAGGCAGUAAGUUAAUACCUUGCUGUUUUGACGUUACCAACAGAAUAAGCACCGGCUAACUUCGUG
rnacentral:rRNA from 1 species